rnacentral:ribozyme from 16 species
GCAAUCACAGGUGCUCAAACUGAAGUAGACACUUCCAAAAGAAAAAAGAAAAACCUAUAUCCAGGAAUUCAUGAGAAGUGACGCAGCUCUUCCUGUUUUCUCAACUUGCAUUACUUUUUUUACUUUAUCCACUGUUCCUCAUU